GACGAACGCUGGCGGCGUGCCUAAUACAUGCAAGUCGACCUUAGGGGCGGACGGGUGAUUAACACCUGGGAACCUAACCAUCAGAGGUGGAUAACCCUUAGCAACAGGUGCUAAUACCGCCUAAUGAUGGAUGAACCCGCGGUGCAUUCGCUAGUUGGUGGGGUAACUGCUCACCAAGGCCACGAUGCAUAGCCGACCUGAGAGGAUGAUCAUCCACACUGGAACUGAGACACGGUCCAGACUCCUACGGGAGGCAGCAGUGGGGAAUAUUGGACAAUGGUCGAAAGCCUGAUCCAGCCAUGCCGCGUGUGUGAAGAAGGUCUUCGGAUUGUAAAGCACUUUAAGUGGGGAGGCGUUACCAACAGAAUAAGCACCGGCUAACUUCGUGCCAGCCGCCGCGGUAAUUC
rnacentral:rRNA from 1 species